CGGGGAAUAUUGCACAAUGGGCGAAAGCCUGAUGCAGCGACGCCGCGUGAGGGAUGACGGCCUUCGGGUUGUAAACCUCUUUCAGCAGGGACGAAGCGCAAGUGACGGUACCUGCAGAAGAAGCACCGGCUAACUACGUGCCAGCAGCCGCGGUAAUACGUAGGGUGCAAGCGUUGUCCGGAAUUACUGGGCGUAAAGAGUUCGUAGGCGGUUUGUCGCGUCGUUUGUGAAAACCAGCAGCUCAACUGCUGGCUUGCAGGCGAUACGGGCAGACUUGAGUACUGCAGGGGAGACUGGAAUUCCUGGUGUAGCGGUGAAAUGCGCAGAUAUCAGGAGGAACAACGGUGGCGGAGGCGGGUCUCUGGGCAGUAACUGACGCUGAGGAACGAAAGCGUGGGUAGCGAACAGG
rnacentral:rRNA from 1 species